CAUUUCAUUCAUUCAAACUUUCUCAUUUAUUGCAGAAAGGAAGAAAGGCUCUAUUACAAGUUUAAAAUGGUUGAAUUGUUUUCCUUGUUUAACAAUUCAAGUCAUCAAGCUACAAUUGAUACAAAAGAAAAAAAUUUGGGAGCUGUUGUUAGUGGCCAAGGUGUUAGUAUCCGCAGUCCUAUUUUUAUUAACAAAGAUAGGACGAGUGGUCUUACAUUGCACUGUACGUUCCAGGGUGCAGCUAGAGAGAUUAUUAUGUGGGAUUGGGAUUGGAAUUUAAAUUUCGUAGAUAAAGCUUCAGGUCGGAAGUAUCAAUUCAAGAUAAAACAUACCGAUGGUGUUAUUAGAUUGUAUCUAUCAGACACUGGUAUUGCAGUGUUGGCUGAUGAUGAGGAGGAGAGCAUAGGAAUGUAUCCAACAGAAAAACACUAUCCAUUUUAUAAGAUGUCUUUCGAUCAGGACGGUCAAUGGGUAGUUAUUCCGUCACCAUGAAGAAAAAGAUAAUAGUAGGUGGUGCCUGUGGAGGGGAUGAUCGGCGGUGGACGGAGGAUUGGGUGGCUGGCUAAUUCUCGUAUCGGCGGUGGAGAACACAAUGGAUGGUUCUCGGUUGUUCGUUUUUGUUUGGGCUUCACUGUUGUUGGGCUCAUUUUCUGUGUUUUCAUUGUUUUUAGGCCCGAUCUUUGUUUGUUUCUAGGAAUAAAUUGAGCCUUUGUUUGAUUUGUAAGUGUGUGUUUGUUUUAAUAAAAGUUCCUGGUUGACGAUUCUUUUGGA